UAAAAACGUAGAUAUAAAUUUUCAUAUCCAACUUUAUCAUCCGUAUUAUUUAAUUUUUUUAUAAUCACUAUUUUUAUUAUUAUUAGGUGAUAAAAUAUAAAUAGUGUUUUAUACGUGAUAUAUGUUUUUUCAUAUUUUUAAAUAAGAUGGAUGAUUAAAUUAUACACGGAAAAUUAUGGUUGCGUUUAAA
rnacentral:pre_miRNA from 1 species